CGAAAAUUGACUUUUUUCCGAAUUUUCAAAGAGCUAUAAUUCCACUUGUUCUGGUCGAAUUUCGUUAUAACCCGGUGUUUUCGUAAUGUAGGUGAUGGGAAUAAGCCGCUGAUAGGGGUUUCUAUAGCUAUUUUUGGGUUUAAAGAAAAUCGAUUUUUCGCAUUUUCAAAGUGCUAUAAUUCCCUUAGUUUUUCUCGAAACUCAUUAUAACCCGGUGUUUUCGUGUUGUAGGUGAUGGGAACAAGCCGCUGGUAUAGUUAGUUCAAUUUCGAAAAAAAUCAAUUUUUGGUGAAAAAUUCGAUACGGGGGGGUAUACCUGAAAAAUGAAAAAACCCAAACUUUGAAGGCCUAUAUCUCGGCUUCUAUGGGAGCUAUCGGGAAAAUUCCAACGGUUUUGUCUUAGUUUCGUCCUUGUGAAUCCAACGAGGCCAUCCGCAAGGUCGUAGCUCCCAUAUUAGCUGAGAUCUCGCAUUUUUGUGGCCCAUUUUUGGGCUCAAAAACAGGGUCGAAAAUUGACUUUUUUCCGAAUUUUCAAAGAGCUAUAAUUCCACUUGUUCUGGUCGAAUUUCGUUAUAACCCGGUGUUUUCGUAAUGUAGGUGAUGGGAAUAAGCCGCUGAUAGGGGUUUCUAUAGCUAUUUUUGGGUUUAAAGAAAAUCGAUUUUUCGCAUUUUCAAAGUGCUAUAAUUCCCUUAGUUUUUCUCGAAACUCAUUAUAACCCGGUGUUUUCGUGUUGUAGGUGAUGGGAACAAGCCGCUGGUAUAGUUAGUUCAAAUUCGAAAAAAAUCAAUUUUUGGUGAAAAAUUCGAUACGGGGGGGUAUACCCGAAAAAUGAAAAAACCCAAACUUUGAAGGCCUAUAUCUCGGCUUCUAUGGGAGC
rnacentral:lncRNA from 1 species